UCAUGUGACAAAGAGGACAAAGAACCUGAUCUUUUGUUAGUGGAAGACACUGACUGAGAGAAAGUUUAGUGGGAGGGAUUUCAUUAUAAACUUUCCAUAGGAAAAGUUUCAAACAAUCCUGCAAUUUAACAGCCCACAAUUUCUUCCUUAGGACAUCAGGUUCAUUUGGGUGUUA